ACUUUCUUCUUUGACCCUCUCUUCUUAUCUUCCUCGUCCUCACUGUAUUCGCUUUCGUAAUCCUCCUCUUCAAUCUCAUCAUCCUCUUCCUCUAAUCCUUCUUCUGCAUUCUCACCCUCCACAUCACGGGUUCUUUUCAAAACCUCGACUUUCAGUGAUGUCUUUUGGUCACAACCGAUCCAAGUAUCGCUUAGGCAGAAGCAAGUCAAGUUAUAAGUACCUUCUCCAGGUGCUAAGAGUCUCCCCAUUACCAAUCUUGACCCACUUUUAACCUUCUCAACAGCUUCUUUAACUGCAUCAUUUGUUUCCUUGACGCUUGCUCCUAAAGGUUCCAUUGUUUCAGUAAUAGUGUUUGAUGCAGCGGCUAUAGCUCCAGCUUCAUCCAUGAAUUUAACCUUCUGAAAGAACCAGACAUGGUUUGAAUCCGCAAGAAGAACCCAAAAGUUUUCCUCUUUGUGGAAAGGAAAGUAAGGUGAGUGAGGAAUAGC